CAGCCGCCGCGGGAAUACAGAGGGUGCGAGCGUUAAUCGGAUUUACUGGGCGUAAAGCGUGCGUAGGCGGCUUCUUAAGUCGGAUGUGAAAUCCCUGAGCUUAACUUAGGAAUUGCAUUCGAUACUGGGAAGCUAGAGUAUGGGAGAGGAUGGUAGAAUUCCAGGUGUAGCGGUGAAAUGCGUAGAGAUCUGGAGGAAUACCGAUGGCGAAGGCAGCCAUCUGGCCUAAUACUGACGCUCAUGCACGAAAGCGUGGGGAGCAAACAGGAUUAGAGACCCCCGUAGUCCCUGUCUCUUAUAC
rnacentral:rRNA from 1 species